UUAUCAUCUCCACAGGAUUGUGUUUGUGUUAAAUCACUUAAUUGUAAAAUUAUACUAACAACUUGGUAAAUAAAAACACAAUAUGGUUGAGAAAUGAUGAUUAAAGUUAAAUAUAUUAAACUAAAUGCAAUGAUCCCUAAUGCAAAUUGUAACACCCCAAACCCGACCCAGACGCUAUGGCCAAAUCUGGCGUGUUACAUUGAAGUGUUUUAGUGAAAACCGUGUUUCCAUUGAAAAC
rnacentral:lncRNA from 1 species